rnacentral:rRNA from 1 species
CCUACGGGAGGCAGCAGUCGAGAAUCAUUCACAAUGGGGGAAACCCUGAUGGUGCGACGCCGCGUGGGGGAAUGAAGGUCUUCGGAUUGUAAACCCCUGUCAUGUGGGAGCAAAUUAAAAAGAUAGUACCCCAAGAGGAAGAGACGGCUAACUCUGUGCCAGCAGCCGCGGUAAUACAGAGGUCUCAAGCGUUGUUCGGAAUCACUGGGCGUAAAGCGUGCGUAGGCGGUUUCGUAAGUCGUGUGUGAAAGGCGCGGGCUCAACCCGCGGACGGCACAUGAUACUGCGAGACUAGAGUAAUGGAGGGGGAACCGGAAUUCUCGGGGUAGCAGUGAAAUGCGUAGAUAUCGAGAGGAACACUCGUGGCGAAGGCGGGUUCCUGGACAUUAACUGACGCUGAGGCACGAAGGCCAGGGGAGCGAAAGGGAUUAGAUACCCCUGUAGUC